UGGUUCAGAGACAGGCGGGGAGCAGCUUGAGUCUUGCCUUAGCGUCGUGGCGUUAGCAGGACUGGUUUACAUUGCGGGGGGGAAGUUGUGUUAAUAGGGGCUGAGAGGUGCGGCGCGUCCCGGCUUAGCGUGAUGCGUGGCAGGAUGUCGUGGAUGCGUGGCGGCUUAGCAAAGAUAUGCUAAAGCUGCCAGCCGUGAUGCCGAGCAGAUCUCCAACAAGUAGUUCUUCAUGUUCACUCUGUUUUUUCAUCCAGUAAUGAUCAUCAUCCUACAUUCACCCUGUUGGAGGAGGAGUCAUGUGGAAACCAGGGGCUACCAACUGGUGACGCGCUGCUGGUCCCGGCUUCCCCUGGCUCGUGGAUCGCCGUGCUUUCAUCAACGUUGGGAAUCGCUUUGGCAGAUAUAAUGAAACAGAAUUUAGAUGCCAGAGUAAUGACUUGCUGCUUCUGACAUCAAGGGAGCGUCUCUCUCUCUCUCUCUCUCUCUCUCUCUCUCUGUCUCUCUCUCUCUCUCUCUCUCUCUCUCUCUCUCUCUCUCUCUCUCUCUCUCUCUCUCUCUCUCUCUCUCUCUCUCUCAUGGACAUUCAUUCAAACAAGACAGCUACGGUUUUUAAUCUUGAGUUAGCGUUUAGUUAGGUAAAUAUUUCAAAAUUACUCUGG